AGCGAACGCUGGCGGCAGGCCUAACACAUGCAAGUCGAACGAAGUCUUCGGACUUAGUGGCGGACGGGUGAGUAACACGUGGGAACGUGCCUUUAGGUUCGGAAUAACUCAGGGAAACUUGUGCUAAUACCGAAUGUGCCCUUCGGGGAAAGAUUUAUCGCCUUUAGAGCGGCCCGCGUCUGAUUAGCUAGUUGGUGAGGUAAAGGCUCACCAAGGCGACGAUCAGUAGCUGGUCUGAGAGGAUGAUCAGCCACAUUGGGACUGAGACACGGCCCAAACUCCUACGGGAGGCAGCAGCGGGGAAUCUUGCGCAAUGGGCGAAAGCCUGACGCAGCCAUGCCGCGUGAAUGAUGAAGGUCUUAGGAUUGUAAAAUUCUUUCACCGGGGACGAUAAUGACGGUACCCGGAGAAGAAGCCCCGGCUAACUUCGUGCCAGCCGCCGCCGUAAAAC
rnacentral:rRNA from 1 species